rnacentral:rRNA from 1 species
CGAUUCCGGAGAGGGAGCCUGAGAAACGGCUACCACAUCCAAGGAAGGCAGCAGGCGCGCAAAUUACCCAAUCCCGACACGGGGAGGUAGUGACAAUAAAUAACAAUACGGGGCUCUUUCGGGUCUCGUAAUUGGAAUGAGUACAAUUUAAAUCCCUUAACGAGGAACAAUUGGAGGGCAAGUCUGGUGCCAGCAGCCGCGGUAAUUCCAGCUCCAAUAGCGUAUAUUAAAGUUGUUGCAGUUAAAAAGCUCGUAGUUGAAUUUCGGGAUUGACACAUCGGUCGUGCCUUAAGGGGUAUGAACUGGUGUAGUCAAUUUCUCACCUUCUGGAGAACCGCGAUGCCCUUAAUUGGGUGUCACGGGGAACCAGGACCUUUACUUUGAAAAAAUUAGAGUGUUUAAAGCAGGCAUUUUGCUUGAAUACAUUAGCAUGGAAUAAUAAAAUAGGACGGCAUGAUUCUAUUUUGUUGGUUUCUAGGAUCACCGUAAUGAUUAAUAGGGAUAGUUGGGGGCAUUAGUAUUCAAUUGUCAGAGGUGAAAUUCUUGGAUUUAUUGAAGACUAACUACUGCGAAAGCAUUUGCCAAGGAUGUUUUCAUUAAUCAAGAACGAAAGUUAGGGGAUCGAAGACGAUCAGAUACCGUCGUAGUCUUAACCAUAAACUAUGCCGACUAGGAAUCAGACGAUGUUAAUUUUUUAAUGAC